UACGAAGGGGGCGAGCGUUGUUCGGAAUCACUGGGCGUAAAGGGCGCGUAGGCGGCCCUCUUAGUCGCGUGUGAAAGCCCCGGGCUCAACCUGGGAACGGCGCGCGAAACGGGAGGGCUGGAGUUCGGGAGAGGAGAGUGGAAUUCCCAGUGUAGAGGUGAAAUUCGUAGAUAUUGGGAAGAACACCGGUGGCGAAGGCGGCGCUCUGGACCGAGACUGACGCUGAGGCGCGAAAGCGUGGGGAGCGAACCGG
rnacentral:rRNA from 1 species